GCCUCAGCAUCCCAAGUCAGUGGGAUACAGGUCAAGUUAGUCAGACAGAGAAAGAAAGUGUAAAACAGAAAAAGCCAUCAGGGGGAAAGGUACAACAGGAGACUGCUACUAACACCUUUCUAUCACCAGAGGGUGUAAGUGUCCAACCAACAGCACCACCUCUACAGGAGACUGCUACUAACACCUUUCUAUCACCAGAGGGCGAAAGUGUCCAACCAACAGCGCCACCUCCAUAUGCUGGGAGGCCCCCAACCCCCACAGUUGAUAGUUGGGAUCCUGAGACAAGGUCUCAAAUAUUAACAUGCCCUGUAUUUGAGGCAGGAGGGCAGCGAUUUUACCAAGUUUUAAAUUUCAAAACAGUGAAGCAGCUAAAAGAGGCUGUAACAACCUAUGGUCCUCAAGCACCCUUCACUGUAAGCUUGGUCGAAUCCAUUAACAACUUGAACAUGACGCCAGCAGAUUGGGCUAAUAUGUGUAAAGCUGUGCUAAAUGGAGGACAAUACCUGUUAUGGAAGGUUGCCAAUGAGGAAUUUUGCAA
rnacentral:lncRNA from 1 species